AGAGUAGCCAUUGUGCGUAAAGUGUCACCGAACGGGACGUUGUCGGUGAACGAAAGGAAGCGGAAAUAUGCUCCGUCUUUCUGCGGUGCAACGGCGCGUCCGCU
rnacentral:ncRNA from 1 species